rnacentral:rRNA from 1 species
CCCAAGGACAUCAAAGGUAUAAGAAGUUUCCUUGGUCACGCCAGAUUUUAUAGGAGGUUCAUUAAGGACUUCUCAAAAAUUUCUCGGCCUCUGACUAAUUUAUUACAAAAAGAUAUACCAUUUGUCUUUGAUGAUGAUUGUGUAGAAGCAUUUGAAAUACUUAAGAAAGCAUUAGUCUCUGCACCUAUUGUUCAGCCACCUGAUUGGAAUUUACCCUUUGAAAUUACGUGUGAUGCUAGCGAUUAUGAUGUAGGUGUUGUUCUAGGGCAAAGAGUUGAUAAGAAAUUAAAUGUUAUCCAUUAUGCUAGUAAGACUCUAGACAAUGAUCAAAGAAAUUAUGCUACUACUGAAAAGGAACUUUUAGCAGUUGUAUUUGCUUGUGAUAAGUUCAGACCUUAUAUUGUUGAUUCUAAAGUAACUAUCCACACUGAUCAGCUGCUAUUAAAUAUCUUAUGGAGAAGAAAGAUGCUAAACCUAGACUUAUUAGAUGGGUUCUCUUGCUACAAGAAUUUGAUUUGCAUAUUGUUGAUAGAAAAGGAGCUGAGAACCCCAUUGCAGACAACUUAUCUAGGUUAG